UAAAAAGAUAAGCUAAUAAAGCUACUGGGUUCAUACCCCAACUAUGAAGGUUAUAACCCUUCUCUUUUUAA
rnacentral:tRNA from 1 species